AGCGAACAGACGAGGAGCUUGCUCCUCUGACGUUAGCGGCGGACGGGUGAGUAACACGUGGAUAACCUACCUAUAAGACUGGGAUAACUUCGGGAAACCGGAGCUAAUACCGGAUAAUAUAUUGAACCGCAUGGUUCAAUAGUGAAAGACGGUUUUGCUGUCACUUAUAGAUGGAUCCGCGCCGCAUUAGCUAGUUGGUAAGGUAACGGCUUACCAAGGCGACGAUGCGUAGCCGACCUGAGAGGGUGAUCGGCCACACUGGAACUGAGACACGGUCCAGACUCCUACGGGAGGCAGCAGUAGGGAAUCUUCCGCAAUGGGCGAAAGCCUGACGGAGCAACGCCGCGUGAGUGAUGAAGGUCUUCGGAUCGUAAAACUCUGUUAUUAGGGAAGAACAAAUGUGUAAGUAACUAUGCACGUCUUGACGGUACCUAAUCAGAAAGCCACGGCUAACUACGUGCCAGCAGCCGCGGUAAUACGUAGGUGGCAAGCGUUAUCCGGAAUUAUUGGGCGUAAAGCGCGCGUAGGCGGUUUUUUAAGUCUGAUGUGAAAGCCCACGGCUCAACCGUGGAGGGUCAUUGGAAACUGGAAAACUUGAGUGCAGAAGAGGAAAGUGGAAUUCCAUGUGUAGCGGUGAAAUGCGCAGAGAUAUGGAGGAACACCAGUGGCGAAGGCGACUUUCUGGUCUGUAAC
rnacentral:rRNA from 1 species